GCUGGCGUAGCUCAAUUGGCAGAGCAACUGAUUUGUAAUCAGUAGGUUGCGGGUUCGAGUCCCAUCGCCAGCUCCA
rnacentral:tRNA from 1 species